rnacentral:rRNA from 1 species
GACAGAGGGUGCAAACGUUGUUCGGAAUUACUGGGCGUAAAGCGCGUGUAGGCUGCUCUGCAAGUCGGAUGUGAAAGCCCUGGGCUCAACCUAGGAAGUGCACUCGAAACUGCAGAGCUUGAGUCUCGGAGAGGAUCGCGGAAUUCUCGGUGUAGAGGUGAAAUUCGUAGAUAUCGAGAGGAACACCGGUGGCGAAGGCAGCCCCCUGGGCUGACACUGACGCUCAGGCACGAAAGCGUGGGGAGCAAACAGG